rnacentral:rRNA from 1 species
AACGAACGCUGGCGGCAUGCCUAACACAUGCAAGUCGAACGAGACCUUCGGGUCUAGUGGCGCACGGGUGCGUAACGCGUGGGAACCUGCCCUUAGGUUCGGAAUAACUCCCCGAAAGGGGUGCUAAUACCGGAUAAUGUCUUCGGACCAAAGAUUUAUCGCCUUUGGAUGGGCCCGCGUUGGAUUAGCUAGUUGGUAGGGUAAAAGCCUACCAAGGCGACGAUCCAUAGCUGGUCUGAGAGGAUGAUCAGCCACACUGGGACUGAAACACGGCCCAGACACCAGGGGGAGCAGGAGGGAGGAAAUUGUGAAAAGGGGGGAAAAGCCUGACCCAGCAAUUCCGUGUGAGUAAGAGAUCCAUUAGGUUUGAAAAGCUCUUUAACCGGGGAAGAAAAGUACAGGACGGGAAAAAUAGACCCCGCCAAACCCCUUA